rnacentral:rRNA from 1 species
AUGAAAUCAGUUGGUGCUGAGCCUGAUAUUGUUACAUACAACACGCUUGUUAAUGGCUAUUGUAGAAAUGGAAGGAUCGAUGAUGGUUUGACUCUGUUCAGGGAAAUGCCACAUAAGAGAAUAAAACCUGACACUGUUACAUAUGGCAUCAUACUAGAUGGGUUGUUUCAUGCUGCAAGAACUGUCGUUGCAAGGAAAAUGUUCCAUGAGAUGAUCGAAAGUGAAACGACAGUGGACAUUCCCGUAUACAAUAUAAUACUUAAAGGCCUUUGUAGAAAUAAUUGUGCAGACGAAGCGAUCGCCAUGUUCCAGAAAUUAGGUGCAAUGAAUGUGAAGUUUGAUAUUGGAACACUCAAUACCAUGAUUAAUUCAUUGUACAAGGUUGGAAGAAAAGAAGAAGCUAAGGAUUUGUUUGCUGCAAUAUCAGCCAGCAGGUUGGUGCCUAAUGCUUCUACUUACAGCAUAAUGAUAAUAAAUUAUCUGAAGGAAGGAUCAGUGGAAGAUGCUAAGCAUAUUUUUUUCAUCAAUGGACAAGAGUGGUAUAGCUCCCAGCUCUCGUCUUAUAAACUAUAUCAUCAGAAUGUUGUUUUUUUGAGAAAAUAUCAUCAGAAUGUUGUUGGAAAAAGG